AGCGCUGCCACAGCAAUGUGCUAUUAGAUCGAUUGAUCUUAGAGGUUUCCGGCCUCUGCACAGCCAGUGGUUUCUUCCUCCGGCCUAUGGCACCGCUAGAAAAUCCUCCAGACCGACUCAGCCCUUGAAGAACAGAUCGAGAUUGAGGAGGAGCAAGAGAUUGCACGAACUAUCGCGGAUUAUUGGGGAAGAUCUUGCGUUGGGAGCUCGACCGCAAUUCUGCCUAGCUGCUCUAGAUUUGCAAGUCGAGCGUUCAAACGGAGAGUGCUCAUGAAAUUGAGCUCCGUCUAUAAAUUCAAUCCUUUAUGGGCUCCGACCAAUGUGAGUGCCACGUCUGCAUUUGACAAGGUGAUGCCGCGAUUCAAAUUUCUGGCGCUUGGAUUCCCGGUGCCUCAACAUGGGUAAUACCAUAUGGAUUGAAAUAUCACAUAUUGAAUGAUUUUGGAACAGCUUAUACACAACAAGGGAACUCUUUUGAUUAUGAUCAUGAAAUUAUUUUCUAAUAAAGCAUAUAUGUAUAUAUACACAUUUGUGGGCUCAGCUGGAGGCAUUCACAAUAUACAAAUUGAUUUCCUUGUCCUGAUUUUAAUCUUGGAGUCCC
rnacentral:lncRNA from 1 species